GUGGUGCUGAUUCUGCUGCUUCACUUUGACUUCUACUGCCGUUACUGGACUGUUCUUGUGUGUGAUAUCAGUGAUGAUUCUGAUGGAGCGGCUCAGUCGGCCGGUGAUGACGGGUCGGUCAGCUCCCUAAUCCUGGACAAGUGACGUAGCAAGCAACAGGAAAGAACGAACGCGCGUGGUACGAUAAGAACGCCAGUAGUAGGAGGGAACACCCACUGACUUACCACCAUCAAGUCUUACGACCCAUGAAGGCUGGCUUGUCGGUGUAGCAUCCCGGCCUGUACACUCUGACGGAGGCGGUGAAGGCACGCACAGACGGCACCCGCACCAACACCUGCUCCGCCCUCUCGUACCUGCACACGUUGGGCUAUAAGGGGAGAGGAGGAAGGGCGUGCGUCAAGGAUAAGGGAACACCAGAAAUGGAAGGUGGAACUGAUGCACAUCACUACUUCCUACUCCACACCCAAGUCUGUCCCUCGUCACUUAUCGGGUCUCGUCUGCAUCGCCCUCUUCACAACCACUCUUAGAGAGGCAAUACUUGAUGUCCCUUGCUCUACUGCAGGAGUGACAGGUAAUCAACUGUCAUGUUCGCCGGGCUGA